rnacentral:rRNA from 1 species
UGGGCAACCUGCCCUCAGCACUGGGAUAACCCCGGGAAACCGGGGCUAAUACCGGAUACGACCUCGGCGGGCAUCCGCUGAGGUGGAAAGUGUCAGUGGCUGAGGAUGGGCCCGCGGCCUAUCAGCUUGUUGGUGGGGUAAUGGCUCACCAAGGCGACGACGGGUAGCCGGCCUGAGAGGACGACCAGCCACACUGGAACUGAGAUACGGUCUAGACUCCUACGGGAGGCA